rnacentral:rRNA from 1 species
CCCUUAGAUGUCCUGGGCUGCACGCGCGCUACACUGAUGUGUCCAGUAAGCACCUAACCUCUUCCGAAAGGAACGGGUAACCUUUGCAAAGCACAUCGUGAUGGGGAUAGAUUAUUGCAAUUAUUAGUCUUGAACGAGGAAUUCCUAGUAAGCACAAGUCAUCAGCUUGUGUUGAUUACGUCCCUGCCCUUUGUACACGCCGCCCGUCGCUCCUACCGAUUGAAUGUUCCGGUGAGCUCUUCGGACUGCGCGGUCUGCAGUUUCUGCGUUCCGUGCGGAAAGUUGCGCAAACCUUAACAUUUAGAGGAAGGAGAAGUCGUAACA